rnacentral:rRNA from 1 species
GUGGGGAAUUUUGGACAAUGGGCGCAAGCCUGAUCCAGCAAUGCCGCGUGCAGGAAGAAGGCCUUCGGGUUGUAAACUGCUUUUGUACGGAACGAAACGGUCCGGGUUAAUACCCUGGGCUAAUGACGGUACCGUAAGAAUAAGCACCGGCUAACUACGUGCCAGCAGCCGCGGUAAUACGUAGGGUGCAAGCGUUAAUCGGAAUUACUGGGCGUAAAGCGUGCGCAGGCGGUUUUGUAAGACAGGCGUGAAAUCCCCGGGCUCAACCGGGGAAUUGCGCUUGUGACUGCAAGGCUGGAGUGCGGCAGAGGGGGAUGGAAUUCCGCGUGUAGCAGUGAAAUGCGUAGAUAUGCGGAGGAACACCGAUGGCGAAGGCAAUCCCCUGGGCCUGCACUGACGCUCAUGCACGAAAGCGUGGGGAGCAAACAGGAUUAGAUACCCCAGUAGUCC